GGUAUAUUCUGUGGUACAGUCUGUUCACAAACGCACUGCUAUAAAUUGCUUCCCUACUUUAGUUAUUCCAGAAUGUUCGCGUUAAAAAAUAUCUCUGCGACAAAAAAAACCUGCGCUACUACAUUCUCAGUAAGAAUUUAUCUUGCACGGUUUAGACAAUUAGGUACACUGUUUUUCAUAUAUUGGCGUCAAAAGUAAUAAAUGACAUACGUUGGAGGAACAUGUAUUCUGAGACAGUGCUUCCGAGUCUACCAAUGAAAGGGCUCUCAAAAUAAAUAUAUAGGGAAGAAAACGCUUGUAAUCAUUCGUGAAGGACAUCCGUAAAAAUCGUAAAUGAUUCCCGCUAUGAUUUUAUGUACGUAUGUAUAUAAAUACGUGCGCAUGGUUAUGGGGAAUCUUGUUGAGUAAGUUAGAUUAUGAAUGAAAAGAAAAUCGUUUCACAAAUUGUACGAAAACAAGACUUGAGACUUGGGCCGAUUACAUUCGCGACGACGUCAGAUGAGCUCAUGGAAUUUUGCGCAGUCAUUUGAUAGACUUUGGAACAUUUACGCGAAGCCACCCGAAUUUACAAGCGCAUAAAAAUACAACACGUAAUAUCGAUAACAUUGUUGCAAAAUAAAAUAUAUACCCUAAACAUCUGAUAA